rnacentral:rRNA from 1 species
AAGAGGAUUAGAUACCCUCGUAGUCCUGGCCGUAAAUGAUGUGCACUUGGUGUGGGGAGGAGUUAUCCCCUCUCCGUACCGGAGCUGACGCGUUAAGUGCACCGCCUGGUGAGUACGUCCGCAAGGCUAAAACUCAAAGGAAUUGACGGGGGCCCGCACAAGCGUUGGAGCAUGUGGCUUAAUUCGAUGCAACGCGAAGAACCUUACCUGGGUUUGACAUGCCCGUCGUAUUCUCCUGAAAGGGAGAAGUCAGCUCGGCUGGACGGUGCACAGGUGCUGCAUUGGCUGUCGUCAGCUCGUGCCGUGAGGUGUUGGGUUAAGUCCCGCAACGAGCGCAACCCUUGUGUUUAGUUGCCACUCCUGAUUUUGUUGGGAAGCACUCUAGACAGACUGCCCGUGACAAGCGGGAGGAAGGAGGGGAUGACGUCAAGUCAGUAUGGUCCUUAUACCCAGGGCUGCACACGUGCUACAAUGGCCGGUACAGAGGGCGGCGACGCCGCGAGGCGGAGCAAAUCCCGAAAGCCGGUCUUAGUUCGGAUCGCAGUCUGCAAUUCGACUGCGUGAAGUCGGAAUCGCUAGUAAAUGCGUAUCAGCAAUGGCGCAUUGAAUACGUUCCCGGGCCUUGUACACACCGCCCGUCACAUCAUGAAAGCCGAAUGCACCCGAAGUCACUGGGCCAAUCCUUUUUGGAAGGCAGGUGCCGAAGGUGUGAGCG